rnacentral:rRNA from 1 species
UACAGAGGGGGCAAGCGUUGUUCGGAAUUACUGGGGGUAAAGGGGGCGUAGGCGGCCUUCUAAGUCGAACGUGAAAUCCCCGGGCUCAACCCGGGAACUGCGUCCGAUACUGGAAGGCUUGAAUCCGGGAGAGGGAUGCGGAAUUCCAGGUGUAGCGGUGAAAUGCGUAGAUAUCUGGAGGAACACCCGUGGCGAAGGCGGCUCUCUGGGACGGUACUGACGCUGAGACGCGAAAGCGUGGGGAGCGAACAGG